GAUGAACGCUGGCGGCGUGCUUAACACAUGCAAGUCGAACGGGAAACCUUUUAUUGAAGCUUCGGCAGAUUUAGCUGGUUUCUAGUGGCGGACGGGUGAGUAACGCGUGGGUAACCUGCCUUAUACAGGGGGAUAACAACCAGAAAUGGUUGCUAAUACCGCAUAAGCGCACAGGACCGCAUGGUCCGGUGUGAAAAACUCCGGUGGUAUAAGAUGGACCCGCGUUGGAUUAGCUAGUUGGCAGGGUAACGGCCUACCAAGGCGACGAUCCAUAGCCGGCCUGAGAGGGUGAACGGCCACAUUGGGACUGAGACACGGCCCAGACUCCUACGGGAGGCAGCAGUGGGGAAUAUUGCACAAUGGGGGAAACCCUGAUGCAGCGACGCCGCGUGAAGGAAGAAGUAUCUCGGUAUGUAAACUUCUAUCAGCAGGGAAGAUAGUGACGGUACCUGACUAAGAAGCCCCGACUAACUACGUG
rnacentral:rRNA from 1 species